GACGAACGCUGGCGGCGUGCUUAACACAUGCAAGUCGAACGAAGUGGCGAACGGGUGAGUAAUACGUGAGUAACCUGCCCUCCUUUUUGGGAUAAGCCUUGGAAACGGGGUCUAAUACCGAAUAAAGGGGGAUGGGCUCGCGGCCUAUCAGCUUGUUGGGGGGGUGAUGGCCUACCAAGGCGGGGAGGGGUAGCCGGCCUGGGAGGGUGACCGGCCACAUGGUGACUGAGAGACGGCCCAGACUGCUACGGGAGGCAGCGGUGGGGGAUAUUGCACAAUGGGCGAAAGCCUGAUGCAGCGACGCCGGGUGGGGGAUGAAGGGUUUCGGGUUGUAAACCUCUUUCAGCCAAUACGCGGUAGUGGCAGAAGAAGCACCGGCUAACUACGUGCCAGCAGCCGCGGUAAUAC
rnacentral:rRNA from 1 species